rnacentral:rRNA from 1 species
CCCGUUGUACACACCGCCCGUCACGGCAUGGGAGUUGGUUUUACCCGAAGACGGUGCGCUAACCGCAAGGAGGCAGCCGGCCACGGUAGGAUCAGCGACUGGGCCG